AUAUCCGCUGGGAGCGUUAACUUUGACACAUGGUCACGUGGUACACUGUGGAUGUUUGUGGGACGAUCUUAUGUGUAUUCCUUAUGGGUGAUUUGCAAAAACAAGAGAUUAUUUAAAAUAUUACUAUUAAUUUUGUACAAUUGUAUCAAUACAUCACAAGAAAUUCGCUAUAAAUACUAUAUAUGGUAGAAAAUGUCUGAUAUAAUACAUAAAUAUAAUUUCGAUAUACAAACUUAGGAAGAGAUUUUUAGGUUGGUUAACAGCCGAAAUGUGAGGUUACGGCUGUCAAGAAGGACUUCGUAAAUGUAAACAAAAGUUGCAAAGCCAGAAUUUGCCCAAUCUCAAAGCCUUUUUAAUUCCUAUAAAGUUGAAAUGUUGCUUCCUCUGCUUAAGUAUACUGUUUUUAACAUAAUACCACCAUAAUUCUGUCUUAAAUUUGUAUGAAAUAUAGUUUUUUAGUGAUAUUCACCAAGCAAAGUUUACAAACUUUUGUGAACCAUUCUAUUUUGUAUAAUAAAAAUGGUAAUGUGCUUUGCCCCGGAUUGUAUACAAUAUUGUGAAAGAGGGAUAUGUAGAUUCUUUGUUGUUCCCAGGAUCUGGUUGAAAAGAAGACAUUGAUUUCAUUACUAAGGCACCCAGGAGAAGGGCAUGGCCCUAACCCUCAAAUAUGAGUAUUAUAGAAAAUUAACAGUUACCCAGGCAACCAUCCAAUGAGAAUCGUAGGAAAAUUAACAGUUCCACAGACAAUCAUCCAGUGACCACAUUGUCUCUUUUUGGACAUACCAUCUGACGCUUUCUGAAGAAGAUCUUGGGGUGUAAAUAACCCAGGACAGCACCGGAAGAAGCCGUCAGACCACAGGCUAAAUUCCUUAUUAAAAUCUAUAGCUUGCCUAUAAACAGAGACAGACUAUUUUUAAAUAAAAUAACUUCAUUAGUUCUAAAAUGUAGAUCUUGAAUUGUGACCAUAAUAAAAUGAGAAAAUAAAGUGUUUAUACUGAAGUUCAUUCCUUUUUACUUUACUGAUGCAGAGGAGCAGAAUACAAGAACCCAUAAAGGUCUCAGGCUUGCUGUGUUAUGUUGGCGAUGUUAUGUUGAAUUUGUUUCUUGGUCCAAUGUUGGCACUUGGAAAUGAAUUCAAUAUUUCAUUAUCAAUAUGAUCACGACAAUGUAUUGAAAUUUUGUAGAAAUCAAAUUCAAAAUGUGAAAAAUGAAACAUUAGUCAGUACUUUCCAGGAGGCCUUUACCAGGACCCAGUACCUCUCGUUGCAAAUCUACCUACUUCUCCAGUGAGAAGUGAAGAAGAAAGUCAACCCGGCACUGCCAAUGAAGCUACUCAGUUUCUACUCGUUUGGUUGCAACUAUGGAAGCUGAAAAUGACUUUUUGUAGAAUGUCAAAGUACUUCAAGAAGCAGUAAAUAUUGCAAAGUAGUUA